AUUCCUUUAACGCAGCUGUUUAGAGUAUUAGCAUUGUAUUAACUAAAUAUAAAGUCGCUAGUUCAAUUCCAGCAAGAAAUA
rnacentral:tRNA from 1 species